CACUUACCGCUUGGUCCUGAGGCUCCCACCAGUUCCAGGUAAUUUCCUUUUUAAGCAGGUGUAAGAGUGGUUUCGUUAUUUCUGCAUAGUUAUCUAUAAACUUACGGGAGUAGUUAGUCAUACCAAGGAAUGAUCUUAAUUCCCUGAUGUUUGAAGGUGUUUUAGCCUUAAUUACAGCUUCAACCUUCUUCCUCUGGGGAUUUAAUCCUUCAGAAGUUACCUCAUGUCCGAGGAAG